UCCUUGUUAGCUCAGUUGGUAGAGCGUUCGGCUUUUAACCGAGAUGUCAGGGGUUCGAGCCCCCUAUGAGGAG
rnacentral:tRNA from 1 species